GGUCUUCUAGUUGAAUACAACAUCAAACUGCAAAUUUGAAGGAGUGGGUUAUCCACUAAGGCCU
rnacentral:tRNA from 1 species